GCUCAGGACGAACGCUGGCGGCGUGCCUAAUACAUGCAAGUCGAACGCACAGCGAAAGGUGCUUGCACCUUUCAAGUGAGUGGCGAACGGGUGAGUAACACGUGGACAACCUGCCUCAAGGCUGGGGAUAACAUUUGGAAACAGAUGCUAAUACCGAAUAAAACUUAGUGUCGCAUGACAAAAAGUUAAAAGGCGCUUCGGCGUCACCUAGAGAUGGAUCCGCGGUGCAUUAGUUAGUUGGUGGGGUAAAGGCCUACCAAGACAAUGAUGCAUAGCCGAGUUGAGAGACUGAUCGGCCACAUUGGGACUGAGACACGGCCCAAACUCCUACGGGAGGCUGCAGUAGGGAAUCUUCCACAAUGGGCGAAAGCCUGAUGGAGCAACGCCGCGUGUGUGAUGAAGGCUUUCGGGUCGUAAAGCACUGUUGUAUGGGAAGAACAGCUAGAAUAGGAAAUGAUUUUAGUUUGACGGUACCAUACCAGAAAGGGACGGCUAAAUACGUGCCAGCAGCCGCGGUAAUACGUAUGUCCCGAGCGUUAUCCGGAUUUAUUGGGCGUAAAGCGAGCGCAGACGGUUUAUUAAGUCUGAUGUGAAAGCCCGGAGCUCAACUCCGGAAUGGCAUUGGAAACUGGUUAACUUGAGUGCAGUAGAGGUAAGUGGAACUCCAUGUGUAGCGGUGGAAUGCGUAGAUAUAUGGAAGAACACCAGUGGCGAAGGCGGCUUACUGGACUGCAACUGACGUUGAGGCUCGAAAGUGUGGGUAGCAAACAGGAUUAGAUACCCUGGUAGUCCACACCGUAAACGAUGAACACUAGGUGUUAGGAGGUUUCCGCCUCUUAGUGCCGAAGCUAACGCAUUAAGUGUUCCGCCUGGGGAGUACGACCGCAAGGUUGAAACUCAAAGGAAUUGACGGGGACCCGCACAAGCGGUGGAGCAUGUGGUUUAAUUCGAAGCAACGCGAAGAACCUUACCAGGUCUUGACAUCCUUUGAAGCUUUUAGAGAUAGAAGUGUUCUCUUCGGAGACAAAGUGACAGGUGGUGCAUGGUCGUCGUCAGCUCGUGUCGUGAGAUGUUGGGUUAAGUCCCGCAACGAGCGCAACCCUUAUUGUUAGUUGCCAGCAUUCAGAUGGGCACUCUAGCGAGACUGCCGGUGACAAACCGGAGGAAGGCGGG
rnacentral:rRNA from 1 species